rnacentral:rRNA from 1 species
UGGGGAAUAUUGCACAAUGGGCGCAAGCCUGAUGCAGCCAUGCCGCGUGUGUGAAGAAGGCCUUCGGGUUGUAAAGCACUUUCAGCGAGGAGGAAGGCGUUAAGGUUAAUAACCUUAGCGAUUGACGUUACUCGCAGAAGAAGCACCGGCUAACUCCGUGCCAGCAGCCGCGGUAAUACGGAGGGUGCAAGCGUUAAUCGGAAUUACUGGGCGUAAAGCGCACGCAGGCGGUUUGUUAAGUCAGAUGUGAAAUCCCCGAGCUUAACUUGGGAACUGCAUUUGAAACUGGCAAGCCAGAGUCUUGUAGAGGGGGGUAGAAUUCCAGGUGUAGCGGUGAAAUGCGUGGAGAUCUGGAGGAAUACCGGUGGCGAAGGCGGCCCCCUGGACAAAGACUGACGCUCAGGUGCGAAAGCGCUGGG